CCAUUACUGUGGGGUGCUAG
rnacentral:misc_RNA from 1 species